UACAAUGGCGUAAACAGAGGGAAGCGAGCCCGCGAGGGGGAGCAAAUCCCAAAAAUAAACGUCCCAGUUCGGAUUGUAGGCUGCAACCCGCCUGCAUGAAGUUGGAAUCGCUAGUAAUCGCGGAUCAGCAUGCCGCGGUGAAUACGUUCCCGGGCCUUGUACACACCGCCCGUCACACCAUGAGAGUCGGGGACACCCGAAGUCCGUAGCCUAACCGCAAGGGGGGCGCGGCCGAAGGUGGAUUCGAUAAUUGGGGUGAAGUCGUAACAAGGUAAC
rnacentral:rRNA from 1 species